GACGAACGCUGGCGGCGUGCUUAACACAUGCAAGUCGAACGGUAAGGCCCUUCGGGGUACACGAGUGGCGAACGGGUGAGUAACACGUGGGUGAUCUGCCCUGCACUUCGGGAUAAGCCUGGGAAACUGGGUCUAAUACCGGAUAGGACUCCGGACUGCAUGGUCUGGGGUGGAAAGCUUUUGCGGUGUGGGAUGGGCCGGCGGCCUAUCAGCUUGUUGGUGGGGUGAUGGGCUACCCAGGGGACGACGGGUAGCCGGCCUGAGAGGGUGACCGGCCAAACUGGGACUGAGAUACGGCCCAGACUCCUACGGGAGGCAGCAGUGGGGAAUAUUGCACAAGGGGCGCAAGCCUGAUGCAGCGACGCCGCGUGAGGGAUGACGGCCUUCGGGUUGUAAACCUCUUUCAGCAUCGACGAAGCGAAAGUGACGGUAGGUGCAGAAGAAGGACCGGCCAACUACGUGCCAGCCGCCGCCGUAA
rnacentral:rRNA from 1 species